ACAUGUAGGUAUCUACCCUAUGGCCUGGAAUAACACGAGGAAACUUGUGCUAAUACCGGAUAAGUCUUUACAGAGAAAGCUUUAUGCACCAUUGGAUGAGCCUGCACUUGAUUAGUUAGUUGGUAGGGUAAAAGCCUACCAAGACUUUGAUCAAUAGCUGAUUUGAGAGGAUGAUCAGCCACAUUGGGACUGAGACACGGCCCAAACUCCUACGGGAGGCAGCAGUGGGGAAUCUUGCACAAUGGAGGAAACUCUGAUGCAGCGAUGCCGCGUGAGUGAAGAAGGCCCUUGGGUUGUAAAGCUCUUUCGUCGGGGAAGAAAAUGACUGUACCCGAAUAAGAAGGUCCGGCUAACUUCGUGCCAGCAGCCGCGGUAAUACGAAGGGACCUAGCGUAGUUCGGAAUUACUGGGCUUAAAGAGUUCGUAGGUUGUUGAAAAAGUUGGUGGUGAAAUCCCAGAGCUUAACUCUGGAACUGCCAUCAAAACUUUUCAGCUAGAGUUUGAUAGAGGAAAGCAGAAUUUCUAGUGUAGAGGUGAAAUUCGUAGAUAUUAGAAAGAAUACCAAUUGCGAAGGCAGCUUUCUGGAUCAUUACUGACACUGAGGAACGAAAGCAUGGGUAGCGAAGAGGAUUAGAUACCCUCGUAGUCCAUGCCGUAAACGAUGUGUGUUAGACGUUGGAAAUUUAUUUUCAGUGUCGCAGCGAAAGCGAUAAACACACCGCCUGGGGAGUACGACCGCAAGGUUAAAACUCAAAUGAAUUGACGGGGACCCGCACAAGUAGUGGAGCAUGUGGUUUAAUUCGAAGAUACGCGCAGAACCUUACCAACACUUGACAUGUUCGUCGCGACUUUAAGAGAUUAAAGUUUUCGGUUCGGCCGGACGAAACACAGGUGCUGCAUGGCUGUCGUCAGCUCGUGUCGUGAGAUGUUGGGUUAAGUCCCGCAACGAGCGCAACCCUCACUUUUAGUUGCCAUCAUUAAGUUGGGCACUCUGAAAGAACUGCCAGUGAUAA
rnacentral:rRNA from 1 species